AAUCAACGCUGGCGGCGUGCCUCAGACAUGCAAGUCGAACGAUUAAAGCUCUCUUCGGAGAGUGCAUAGAGUGGCGCACGGGUGAGUAACACGUAAGUAAUCUACCUUCGAGUGGGGAAUACCGUCCGGAAACGGACGCUAAUACCGCAUAAUGCAGCGGCGUCGCAAGAUGACAGUUGUUAAAGAUUUAUCGCUUGAAGAGGAGCUUGCGGCGGAUAGCUAGUUGGUAAGGUAAUGGCUUACCAAGGCUACGAUCUGUAACCGGUCUAAGGGGACGGUCGGUCACACUGACACUGAAUAACGGGUC
rnacentral:rRNA from 1 species